rnacentral:rRNA from 1 species
GUGGGGAAUAUUGGACAAUGGGCGCAAGCCUGAUCCAGCCAUGCCGCGUGAGUGAUGAAGGCCUUAGGGUUGUAAAGCUCUUUCACCGGUGAAGAUAAUGACGGUAACCGGAGAAGAAGCCCCGGCUAACUUCGUGCCAGCAGCCGCGGUAAUACGAAGGGGGCUAGCGUUGUUCGGAAUUACUGGGCGUAAAGCGCACGUAGGCGGAUAUUUAAGUCAGGGGUGAAAUCCCAGAGCUCAACUCUGGAACUGCCUUUGAUACUGGGUAUCUCGAGUAUGGAAGAGGUAAGUGGAAUUCCGAGUGUAGAGGUGAAAUUCGUAGAUAUUCGGAGGAACACCAGUGGCGAAGGCGGCUCACUGGACCGUUGUUGACGCUGAGGUGCGAAAGCGUGGGGAGCAAACAGGAUUAGAUACCCGUGUAGUCC